rnacentral:rRNA from 1 species
AGUCGAACGGUAACGCGGGGCAACCUGGCGACGAGUGGCGAACGGGUGAGUAAUAUAUCGGAACGUGCCCAGUAGUGGGGGAUAGCCCGGCGAAAGCCGGAUUAAUACCGCAUACGACCUAUGGGUGAAAGCGGGGGAUCGCAAGACCUCGCGCUAUUGGAGCGGCCGAUAUCAGAUUAGGUAGUUGGUGGGGUAAAAGCCUACCAAGCCGACGAUCUGUAGCUGGUCUGAGAGGACGACCAGCCACACUGGGACUGAGACACGGCCCAGACUCCUACGGGAGGCAGCAGUGGGGAAUUUUGGACAAUGGGGGCAACCCUGAUCCAGCCAUGCCGCGUGCGGGAAGAAGGCCUUCGGGUUGUAAACCGCUUUUGUCAGGGAAGAAAUCUUCUGAGUUAAUACCUCGGGAGGAUGACGGUACCUGAAGAAUAAGCACCGGCUAACUACGUGCCAGCAGCCGCGGUAAUACGUAGGGUGCGAGCGUUAAUCGGAAUUACUGGGCGUAAAGCGUGCGCAGGCGGUCUUGCAAGACAGGUGUGAAAUCCCCGGGCUUAACCUGGGAACUGCACUUGUGACUGCAAGGCUGGAGUACGGCAGAGGGGGAUGGAAUUCCGCGUGUAGCAGUGAAAUGCGUAGAUAUGCGGAGGAACACCGAUGGCGAAGGCAAUCCCCUGG